CAUGACUCUGAUCUCCGUCCUCAUCUGGACUCUCCUCUGCUGCUGCUUCACAGAGUCCAGAGGUCAGGUCACAGUGACUCAGCCUGGAGCAGUGAGCUCUGCUCGGGGAGCCUCCGUCUCCAUCAGCUGUAAUGUUAAUCCUGCUGUGCAUUAUGAUGGUUCUGACUACAUAUUAGCCUGGUACCAACAGAAAGAAAGAGAAGCUCCAAAACUCCUCAUUUACUGGGUAAAUCGUAGAGAAUCAGGGAUUCCAGAUCGUUUUUCAGGCAGUGGAUCAAACUCUGACUUCACUCUGACCAUCAGUGGAGUUGAGGCUGAAGAUGCAGCAGUUUAUUACUGUCAGAGUUAUCAUGAAAUCAACAUUCAGAAUGUGUUCACACAGUGAAAAAGCGUCGUACAAAAACCUCCCUCAGUCAG